rnacentral:sRNA from 1 species
GCUGCGGCACAUCCGCAGUCGGGAAUUGCACCCCGGAUAUUCUGGAGAAUUAAACAUCCUCAUUAUCU